rnacentral:lncRNA from 1 species
UUUUUUUUUUUUUAAUUUUUAGUAGAGACAGGGUUUCACCGUGUUAGCCAGGAUGGUCUCGAUCUCCUGACCUCAUGAUCCACCUGCCUUGGCCUCUCGAAGUGCUGGGAUUACAGGCAUGAGCCACUGCGCCUGGCCAACGAAAUAUGAUUUUUAAGAUGCAUGAUGCCUCAAGAUAAUGAUUCUGUGCAUUAUUACAAUUAUAAUAAUAGAUGUUAUACACUUAUAUAAUGGCCUCUGAAAGAUAUUCUGAAAGUUAUAUUUACUCCCUGUAAAAUGGUUUUCAAAGAAGUGUCUAGGAACUAUGCAUUAAGUCUGGCAUUGCCUUAAAAAUUUAGAAUCUGAUGUAACUCAUCAAAUCAAAACUCAAAAUUAUGAUUCUAAAAUUUGAUUGCAAACUCCCCAAACAGUUUUGAACACAUGAAAGUCUGAAAAUUGCCUUAUAAGGAUGACUUCUUGAGAUUUACCUAUUCAAGAGUAAAGUUGGGGGAUGAUAAAGAAAAUGAGGUUUUGAUUCACUGAAGGGUCCUGCUCACCAAGUUAUUUGAGCAGAUAGAAGGAACUGCUACUUUGAAGACACUGAAAACAUUAUAUUUAAUCAUUUGGCUAUGGGACAUCAUGUGAUGUUCUCAACCAUCUCACUACUUCUGGGAGACCAAUAUUAGAAAUAUCAGAAUUUUAGUACUGAGCAACCUUUAAACUGAGGAAGGAAUUUUCAGAUAAUGUCUCAAUAUCACAUGGAAACAAGAUUCAGAUGAAAUCAAAGAAAAAAUUUUCUUUCCAAGAGCAUUCUUUAAAAUUUUUCAGAACUUUCUAUAUUUAUUUUGGGAGCAGGUAUGAUGAUCAGUCAGUAGAGGAGAGCAAGGAGGAAGGAGACCCACCGUUUAGCAACUCCAGUGCUCUAGGUGAUAUGUUCAGAAGCUGAUGCACACAUGUUAAGACAUCAUUAUCUCCAUUUUAUAGAUGAGGAAAGAGAGGGCAGCAUUGUUAGUCACUUAUUUUAAAAAGAGCUGGAAGGAAAAAGCAGCUUUUAAAAUGAAAAACUAUUAGUGGUAUGUGUAUUGUUGAAGGACAGAAAGUUUCAUUCACCUAAUAUGUUCAUUGAUUUGCAAGGUGAAGACUAUAUCAGCGGGAGCAUAAACUUUAAUGUUUCUUGUGACAUAGGGAGAGCAGAUGGGUACACCCAUUGUGAGCCCUUGAACAAGCAGUCUCAGAGACCCUGCACCACAGGCACAGGCACAGACCUAAAGUUAGAAUGCACUGCUGCCAGGACCCACUGUUUUGUGGCCAGGGAGCCUCUAUAAUAAUGUUGUCUGGGUGCUGCAGACUAACUAGCCAGGGCCAUGACAUUGCAGAUGCAGCACAGCUACCAACCAACCUAGGCUCUCCAAGCAUGGCUGGCAGCACAUUUGUAUUUCUGUCCGAAUUUUCCAUUCGAAAUUGGUCAACAGCUGGAAUGCUACGUUUGUCUUGGGUUGGCCAACUUCCUGUAUUGUUUUCUAUUGUUAUCCCUUAGAAAAGUAAUAACAAAACAUUAUAUAAAAGUAAUUAUAAAAGUCUAUUAAAAUUUCAGAAUGGAGGCAUUUCUUAGGUUCAAAACUAGGAUUCUGAUCAAGAGAUGAGACUUACCUUUUCUUGCACUGCUUUUAAAAUAAGAAGAUCAAUAAAGUUAACUAAAAUAUUAAUAUAUGCAUCUUUAGGAUACUCAAAACAUAAAACUGAUUUUUAAAAUAAAAAUAUUGCAUCUAAUCAUGAAAUUAUUGGUCAUUGUUCUUUCUGUG